rnacentral:lncRNA from 1 species
UUUUUUUAAAAAAACUAAAAUUUAAUUCAAAUGGACAACAUGCAUAGGCUAACCACAAAUGACUAUGUUGUUAGAACACAUGGUGCGUGAUAAGAGGAGAUUGAUGAUGAAAUCCGAACCAAAUACAAAUUGUGAUCUCAAAAUAAUUUGUUAGUCAUAUCAUGUGCACAUGUCCCGACUAAUUAAAUGUUUAUUUGGGUAAGAUGUUAUGUGGGCAUCUAAGUGUCUCGCUUUAUCAGCAACCAAUCCACAUUUAUUUUGUCUUAUUGAUUGACCAAACUCACCUCUCUCCAAAUUAACCCAAAUUCACGGGACUUUCUAUUUUGCAUUUUAAACUCAUCAAAAGUUUGAUGGAAUUAUCAUAUCAAUGCAUAUGCUUUGCUAAUUCUUAAAUAAUAUAUAUGUAGAU